rnacentral:rRNA from 1 species
AUGCAAGUCGGACGAGAAAGAGGUUGCUUGCAACCUUGAGUAGAGUGGCGAACGGGUGAGUAACAUGUGGAUAACCUUGCUUUAAUUAGAGGAUAACUAUUCGAAAGGGUAGCUAAUACUGUAUGAAGUAUAUAUAUGCAGGUAUAUAUAUUAAAGGCUGGUAUAGAGAUAUAUUAGUUGAUUAGAGAUGGGUCCGCAUACCAUUAUGUUAGCUGGUAGGGUAAAGGCCUACCAGGGCGACGAUGGUUAGCUGAUCUGAGAGGAUGGUCAGCCACACUGGAACUGAAACACGGUCCAGACUCCUACGGGAGGCAGCAGUGAGGGAUUUUGCGCAAUGGGGGGAACCCUGACGCAGCAACGCCGCGUGAGUGAAGAAGGCCUUUGGGUCGUAAAGCUCUGUCGACAGGGAAGAAGUGUAUUAUAUUAAUAGUAUGAUAUAUUGACGGUACCUGUAGAGGAAGCACCGGCUAACUCCGUGCCAGCAGCCGCGGUAAUACGGGGGGUGCAAGCGUUAUUCGGAAUUAUUGGGCGUAAAGGGCACGCAGGCGGAUUUGUUAGUCAGAUGUGAAAUUCCAGGGCCUAACCUUGGGCGUGCAUUUGAUACGGCAAGUCUUGAGUACGGUAGAGGGAAGCGGAAUUCCUGGUGUAGAGGUGAAAUUCGUAGAUAUCAGGAGGAACACCGAAGGCGAAGGCAGCUUUCUGGUCCGAUACUGACGCUGUAGUGCGAAGGCGUGGGGAGCAAACAGGAUUAGAUACCCUGGUAGUCCACGCAGUAAACGAUGUUCACUAGGUGUAGCAGGUAUUAAAAUUUGCUGUGCCGCAGCUAACGCAAUAAGUGAACCGCCUGGGGAGUACGGUCGCAAGAUUAAAACUCAAAGGAAUUGACGGGGGCCCGCGCAAGCGGUGGAGCAUGUGGUUUAAUUCGACGCAACGCGAAGAGCCUUACCUGGGUUUGACAUCCUGUGUAUUUUUUAGAGAUAAGAGAGUGCCUUUUUAAAGAGGAGCACAGAGACAGGUGCUGCAUGGCUGUCGUCAGCUCGUGUCGUGAGAUGUUUGGUUAAGUCCAGCAACGAGCGCAACCCUUAUCUUUAGUUGCCAGCACGUAGAGGUGGGAACUCUAGAGAGACUGCCCCGGUUAACGGGGAGGAAGGUGGGGAUGACGUCAAGUCCUCAUGGCCUUUAUAUCCAGGGCUACACACGUGCUACAAUGGUAUGUACAGAGGGUAGCAAGCUAGAGAUGGUGAGCUAAUCCCCAAAGCAUAUCUUAGUUCGGAUUGGAGUCUGCAACUCGACUUCAUGAAGUUGGAAUCGCUAGUAAUCGCGGAUCAGCAUGCCGCGGUGAAUAAGUUCCCGGGCCUUGUACACACCGCCCGUCACACCAUGAGAGUUGAUUAUACCCGAUAUCGUUGAGCUAACCUAUUUAUAGGAGGCAGGCGCUUAAGGUAUGGUUGAUGAUUGGGGUGAAGUCGUAACAAGGUA